rnacentral:rRNA from 1 species
UUCCGGUUGAUCCUGCCGGAGGUCACUGCUAUUGGGAUUCGACUAAGCCAUGCGAGUCGAGAGGGUUCGGCCCUCGGCUGACGGCUCAGUAACACGUGGAUAAUCUGCCCUAGGGUGGAGGAUAAUCUCGGGAAACUGAGAAUAAUACUCCAUAGGUUUAGGAGGCUGGAAUGCAUCUAAGCUGAAAGUUCCGGCGCCCUAGGAUGAGUCUGCGGACUAUCAGGUUGUAGUCAGGGUAAAGACCUGACUAGCCUACGACGGAUACGGGUUGUGAGAGCAAUAACCCGGAGACGAUAUCUGAGACACGAUAUCGGGCCCUACGGGGCGCAGCAGGCGCGAAAACUUCACACUGUGCGAAAGCACGAUGAGGGAAUCCCAAGUGCUUACUCGUAAGAGUAGGCUGUUUCUUAGUCUAAAAAACUGAGAGAGUAAGAGCUGGGUAAGACGGGUGCCAGCCGCCGCGGUAAUACCUGCAGCUCAAGUGGUGGCCGCUAUUAUUGGGCCUAAAACGUCCGUAGCCUGUUUAGUAAAUGCUUGGGUAAAUUGUGUAGCUUAACUAUACGAAUACCGGGUAGACUGCUAAACUUGGAACCGGGAGAGGCUAGAGGUACUCCUAGGGUAGAGGUGAAAUUCUGUAAUCCUAGGGGGACCACCAGUGGCGAAGGCGUCUAGCUAGAACGGGUCUGACGGUGAGGGACGAAGCCCUGGGGCGCAAACCGGAUUAGAUACCCGGGUAGUCCAGGGUGUAAACGCUGCUUGCUUGAUGUUAGUUGGGCUCCGAGCCCAACUAGUGUCGGAGAGAAGUUGUUAAGCAAGCUGCCUGGGAAGUACGGUCGCAAGACUGAAACUUAAAGGAAUUGGCGGGGGAGCACAGCAACGGGUGGAGCGUGCGGUUUAAUUGGACUCAACGCGGU